CUGGGAUUCUUGCAUUUCCUCCCCCAAAAUGACACCGGCGGAGCGAGGCGGGAGCCGCAGAGCACCGGCAGCUUGGUCCCGCGGGGGGGGGUGGGGGGAGAAGGCGGCGGGGAGGCCCCGGCGCAUCCCUGGCACGGCCAGAAAACCCCGUUUCAGCCCCCCGGUGCGACGGGGCCUUUGCAGAUCUGCUUUUCGCGGAGGCGCCUCGGUGCCAGCGCAGCGCUGCCGGCUCGUGCCCGGGCGACGCUGCAGAUUCCCGCGGUGCCCACUCGCCGCCCGCUGCCGUGUGGCUAUUUCGGGGUGGUUAUUUCCUUAAAGCCCCAGCUCCUGGAGCCGUGCCAUCCGCGGAGGAGCUCUGCUGUCGCCAAAAACCUUGCGGUCUCGGCCGCGGCAGGCAAAGGUUUGGGAGCGAGCACAGGGCAAAGAAAGCCCGAGGCAGGGUUGCGGAUAAGGAGGGCUCUGCCCUCCUCCCCGCUGCGGGCGUACGGCCGCCCGCUCCUCCGUGGCGCGUUUCGGGGGCUGCUGGGGAAGGUGAUGGCGCGGCGGCACCUUUUCCUAAAUCGCCAAGGAGGGAAGGGGGAAGCGGCUCAGGGAGGAGGUGGAUCGGGGACGGUUCACGGCACGAAGCCAGGGCCGAAGGGCGCAGCGGGAUUCCCUUCUCCUCCUCCUCCGCAGGCGGCCCGGGGCAUCCAGGCUGGGCAGCCUUUCCCGUGCAGUUUUGGGCUGCCUCUUYCCCUGGCCGAGGGGACCCGUGGGGCCUCGCGGCAUCACUGGGAGCGAAGGGCAGAAGUCCACAUCCGUGGAAAUCACUCCCAGCCCUGCCUUCGCCGUCUCUCCGGGACCCCGACGCUUGAACCUCCCUGGAGCUGGAGCGUUUUGCCGAGGAACAAACCCUCCAUGAAGGUGGGAGAGCUUCACCCGGUGCCGUGGCGCGAGGGAAAGCCACCGUUUCGGGUUCCUGGGCCUCAGUUUACCCCGUCCCUACAAUGGGCGAGGAGGCCUUUGCCCUGCGGUGCUAAACACGGGCGUAGGGGGCUGUGA
rnacentral:lncRNA from 1 species